rnacentral:misc_RNA from 1 species
UCAAAAAGAUCAGCUGUACCGCUGUGCCCUCGGGGCUUGCAAAGGCUGAUAUUUACACCCAUGUCUUUUGCGCUACUUGUUGUUUCCUCGGCUGGCGCAAGCCGCCCGAUGGACCACACCUAAACCUUUUUUGUCAUUGCAAUCAGCGUCAGUGUAACAAAUGUAAAUCAUUUA